rnacentral:rRNA from 1 species
UCGCACCUACCGAUUGAAUGGUCCGGUGAGAAUUUUGGACCGUGGCGCCGCAGCUUUAACGAGAGGCGGCGCCGUGGGAAGUUAUUCAAACCUUACCAUUUAGAGGAAGGUG